AGAUUUAAUUAGUCACAAGUCGAUAGAAAGGCAAUAGGAAAGAUUCCACCAUAAUAAUGACUACUUUGGUUGUGUUUGUCGCCAUCUUGGCUUGUGUCUGGUCAGCACCAUGUGUACACAAUAACCAUGCUGAUUUAACAGAAGAACAUGUUAUUAAUAUGGUUAUAGAGUCUGCUGAUUUUAAUGAUGAUGGUAUUCUCGACGAACUUGAUCUUGUCAACUUCCUUACUCGUUAUGAUGCUAACAAUAAUAUGAAAGUAGAAAAAGUGGAAUUUGCCAAUGGAUGGGUUUCAAAUUACCAUGACGAGAGAGCUUUUGCAGAACAUGUGUUUGAUUUUCUGAAUACUGAUGCCGAUGGUGUUCUAGAGCCUGGUGACGUACCUGCUCUUAAGGCGAGAGCUGAUAAAUCAGGUGAUGGUAAGGUUCAAGUAUCAGAAAUGAGAACGUUUUUAGAAGCUAUUUACAACGCUUGUUAAUGAGAUUACAGGAAACAGUCAAUAAACCACAAAUAAACAGUAAAAUAAAAUGUUUGGUUUAGA